rnacentral:lncRNA from 1 species
GAUACCGAAGGACCUGUUCGAAGUAUUUACUGUAACUCCAACUGUAACUUGGUUCUGAGGAGGAGAGAAUCCAUGCUUGGUCAACAGAACUUUUCGCUGUCACUUAAGUUUACUGCUUCGAUAUCUUUUCCUUACUAAUUGAUUGUUAAUUAAGUAGUGCCCAAGUGGAUUAGCCUUUUUAGGGUUUAUUAAUUAAAAGAGAGCAGCAAGAAUGGCAUUU